UACGUAGGGUGCGAGCGUUAAUCGGAAUUACUGGGCGUAAAGCGUGCGCAGGCGGUGAUGUAAGACAGGUGUGAAAUCCCCGGGCUUAACCUGGGAACUGCAUUUGUGACUGGCAGGCUUUGAGUGUGGCAGAGGGAGGUAGAAUUCCACGUGUAGCAGUGAAAUGCGUAGAGAUGUGGAGGAAUACCGAUGGCGAAGGCAGCCUCCUGGGCCAACACUGACGCUCAUGCACGAAAGCGUGGGGAGCAAACAGGA
rnacentral:rRNA from 1 species